CCUACGGGGGGCAGCAGUGAGGAAUAUUGGUCAAUGGACGAGAGUCUGAACCAGCCAAGUAGCGUGAAGGAUGACUGCCCUAUGGGUUGUAAACUUCUUUUAUAAGGGAAUAAAACGAGGCACGUGUGCCUUUUUGCAUGUACUUUAUGAAUAAGGAUCGGCUAACUCCGUGCCAGCAGCCGCGGUAAUACGGAGGGUACGGGCGUUAUCCGGAUUUAUUGGGUUUAAAGGGAGCGUAGAUGGAUUGUUAAGGCAGUUGUGAAAGUUUGCGGCUUAACCGUAAAAUUGCAAUUAAAACUGGCAGUCUUGAGUACAGGUGAGGUAGGCGGAAUUCGUGGUGUAGCGGUGAAAUGCUUAGAUAUCACGAAGAACCCCGAUUGCGAAGGCAGCUUACUAGACUGUGACUGACAUUGAUGCUCGAAAGUGUGGGUAUCAAACAGGAUUAGAUACCCCUGUAGUC
rnacentral:rRNA from 1 species